ensembl:lncRNA LINC01531 long intergenic non-protein coding RNA 1531
AUAAACAAGCACUGGCCUCAGGAUAAGCAGUGUUGAAACAUUUGGAAGCUCCUGCAGAUGCUGAAUAACUGACCUCCAGCCUCUGUUCCACCAGCCACAACUACAGCUUUGAUUGGAGAAGAGACUGAUUUCAGCCACUUUCUCCUGGUAUAAAAGCCUGCCGUUGGUGGAAAAGGAAAAGGUGGUCCAGUUAGACAAGAUGCCACCGGCUUCUGAAACCAGACAUCUUUGAAAACCCACCCAUCUACCUGCAGGAAAAGAGACAGGGUUUCACUAUGUUGGCCAGGAUGUUCAACAACUUCUGCCUUCAAGCGAUCUUCCCUCCUGGGCCUCCCCAAGUGCUGAGUUUACAAGCAUCAGCCACCACACCCAGCCUAUGACAUUUUCUUCAUUAUGGCUGGUACUGCCUCAUGAAAAGGGGGUUCCUCAUGCUGGAUCUGAACAACCCAGCACAGGCAAGUCUGGGGAGCAAGGCAGGAGCCUGCAUGUGGACUCAAAGGACCGGCACCCGAAACAAAGCAGUGGCUGGCACAGGUGGACAAACCAGGCAAGAAAAGCAACUGUCCUUCGGAGCAGAGUCCACGUGAUGGGAAGAAACAGGUCAUGAUACUUUUGAGUGGUUACAUCCUACUGUGUUUGUGCCUUCUUUUUUCCUUUCUCAGUCUUGCCAAGAGACCCAUUAAUUUGUCUUUUCAGAAAACCAAGAUCCUCUCCAGCAUUUAUCUUUG